CUACACUUUCAUACCCCGCUGCGUGCUUCUCUCCUUACUGAACUUACCCUUACCCUGCCUGCUUCCUGUUUCCUGUUUCCGAGUCAGCGCCAGGCACACUGGGACCCACCGGCGGAGGAAGCAGCAGGGCUCCACAGCGGGCACUGAACGAACGGACGCAGACAGACGGCGUACUUCGCACGAUUUGUUUGAAUAUAGACCGUGAGCGACGAAUAAGGAGAAGGAAGUACAGAGAGACUUGUAAGAGCUGAGAAAGACUGGUGUUAUGGCUCUGGAUACGAGGUCUGUGCAGAGCUCACACUGUAAUAUGGAGAUGAGAGCGCGUUUCUUAUCCCCUCGGCCCUGGCACAGGGGUCAAAGGUCAGGGGCCUGGGGAGGGUAUUAGCUGGGAGACGGGGGGGUGGGGGGUGGGGUGGGGGGAGGCUUAGCUCCUCCACCCGGCCGUCAGCCGUCCCGAAAUGGCCCCGCCCGACCCGACCGAGAGGAGACGCCCCCCCCCCCCCGCGGGGUGGGAAUCACACGGGUCGUUAAGCACUGACGGGAACUGUCCUUCGCUGUCUCCGCGCGCCGUGGGGACGCUGGGGGCUGACGCGCCACAUAAACAAGCGGCAGCUCGGCGGCGGAACUUUCCGGUCCCGAAGGCGCCGGCGUAGCGGUCGCGGUCUCCGCCACUCCGCAGCAGUGAGGAGGGGACUCGCAGGACAGGCUGGGUCACGGUUUACUUCAGCUGUCGGAAUGGCCUUUGGGGUCAAGGAACUGCGGACGGAAAGGAAGUCGCACUGCCUUCACAGAUGCCACGGAAGAGUUUGUUUGGACAGCCUCGGCGUGCGCAGGGUGCUGGAGAGAGAGGCGCACGCCACGUCCCCCAGAGGCUCUGCGCGCUCCGCAGUCCAACUCGGGAGGAAGAGGAAGACGGAGGAAGUCUCCGCCUUCGCGGCUCGCCAGGCAGAAUUCUGGACACCUGGUCAAACAGCAGGGGGCGCUGGAGUGCGGUGAGAUGGUGCAACCCUAGCUGUCUGAAGACCUCUCCUUCCAUGGGUGUCACUCACGCUAAUUAUGCACUGGAUCACAGCUGGCACUGGAGCAGAUACCAGACCAUGGGGCCCAUCCACACACUGGAACAGAGCCUUAACAGAUACCAGACCAUGGGGCCCAUCUACACACUGGAGCAGAGCCUUAACAGAUACCAGACCAUGGGGCCCAUCCACACACUGGAGUAGAGCCUUAACAGACACCAGACCAUGGGGCCCAUCCACACUCUGGAACAGAGCCUUAACAGAGACCAGACCAUGGGGCCCAUCUACACACUGGAACAGGGUCUUAACAGACACCAGACCAUGGGGCUCAUCCACACACUGGAGUAGAGCCUUAACAGACACCAGACCAUGGGGCCCAUCCACACACUGGAACAGAGCCUUAACAGACACCAGACCAUGGGGCCCAUCCACACACUGGAACAGAGCCUUAACAGAUACCAGACCAUGGGGCCCAUCCACACACUGGAACAGAGCCUUAACAGAUACCAGACCAUGGGGCCCAUCCACAC